rnacentral:sRNA from 1 species
GGAUGGAGGGGCAAUCUGGCUGUUGCAUCUAUCACCUGUUGAUUUUUCAGAGUUGAUUUUGUUUAUCUGAUUGGCAAGGUGAAGUCACCUUUCUCCCUCAACCCUCCAUUUUCAUCUCUCCCAAGUCUCAAUCAAAAAGGAUGACCUUCUUGUAUAGAGCAGAAAUCAUCUUUAGUCAAGUUGUUGAUUUCCCUGGGUAUAAUUUCAAAACUAGCUCUGCUCUUU